GGGGGCGGGGUGGGGGCAGCCCUUUCCCAGGCGGUAACGGGGGCGGCGUCGCUGUUGCCCUUUUAAGCCGCGGGGCCGCCGCCUCCUGCCGCUGGAGUCGGUUACAAAGGGAGCAGCCACCCAGGCCGCCACACAGCUACCCGCCGAGGCUUCCGCGCCCCUCGCCAUUUUCCAGCCGCGCUCGACGAGGCGGAGCCGCGAGAGCGCGGCCCAGGCCGGCCCCGCGGGGCGGUCGCGGCCGUGACGGCGGCUCCAGGCUCGGCUCCCCUUCCGCGCCCGGCUCCCCUUCCGCGCCACUCCCGCCGGAGAUGAGGGGAAGAUGUCCGUGUCAGGGCUCAAGGCCGAGCUGAAGUUCCUGGCGUCCAUCUUCGACAAGAACCACGAGCGAUUCCGCAUCGUCAGUUGGAAGCUGGACGAGCUGCACUGCCAGUUCCUGGUGCCGCAGCAGGGCAGCCCGCACUCGCCGCCGCCGCCACUCACGCUCCACUGCAACAUCACGCCAAUUGUUUUUAAGUUUGCGUUUAAGGAGAAACUGACAAUGAGAAUGGACUCGUUGACGGAGGAAAAGUUGGAAUGCAGACUCUGGUGCUGUUUGAGCGACCCCUCUCCCCCGGGCCUGGCUGCGCGCUGCUGUGUUCUGGAAAGGAGCAUAGUACCGUCGAUGCGGCAGGAAUCCUAUCCAUCUUCUUCACCGAUAUGGUUUGUGGAUUCGGAAGACCCAAAUCUGACAUCAGUUCUGGAACGUCUAGAAGAUACUAAGAACAACAAUUUGCUUCGUCAGCAAUUGAAGUGGUUGAUAUGUGAACUCUGCAGUUUAUAUAACCUUCCUAAGCACCUGGAUGUUGAGAUGCUAGAUCAACCACUACCCACGGGUCAGAAUGGGACAACAGAAGAAGUGACUUCAGAAGAAGAGGAAGAAGAAGAAGAGAUGGCUGAAGAUAUAGAAGACUUAGAUCACUAUGAGAUGAAGGAAGAAGAGCCUAUUAGUGGGAAAAAGUCAGAGGAUGAAGGAAUUGAAAAAGAAAAUUUGGCAAUAUUAGAGAAAAUUAGGAAGACUCAAAGGCAAGACCAUUUAAAUGGUGCAGUGUCUGGGUCAGUGCAAGCUUCAGAUAGACUUAUGAAAGAGCUCAGGGACAUAUACAGAUCACAGAGUUAUAAAACAGGGAUUUAUUCAGUGGAACUCAUAAAUGACAGUUUAUAUGACUGGCAUGUUAAACUGCAGAAGGUUGACCCUGAUAGUCCUUUGCACAGUGAUCUUCAGAUCUUAAAAGAAAAAGAAGGCAUAGAAUAUAUUUUGCUUAACUUCUCUUUUAAGGUAGAACUUCAGGGAGGGGACGAUCUGGGAGGUAAAUGGCUGAAUUUCUAUUGGAUUUGUGUUUCUGGACCAUGGCUCCUGAUACCAGAAAGAAGGCCCUUUUCUGGGGUUGGAGUAUUUCUUGAGAGGCCUAGGAAGAAUGUGAUUGCCUUGAGCUAACUGACCUUAUGAAGAGGACCUUAAACUGAAUUGCCAAGUUAUUAGUAUCGGGAUUCACAGACUUUGGAGGAUAGCAGGAUAACUUUCCAUUUGAUCCUCCAUUUGUUCGAGUGGUGUUACCUGUUCUCUCAGGAGGGUAUGUAUUGGGUGGAGGAGCAUUAUGUAUGGAACUUCUCACAAAACAGGGCUGGAGCAGUGCCUACUCAAUAGAAUCGGUCAUCAUGCAAAUAAAUGCCACCUUAGUCAAAGGCAAAGCCAGAGUGCAGUUUGGAGCAAAUAAGAAUCAAUAUAAUCUAGCAAGAGCCCAACAAUCCUAUAAUUCCAUUGUACAGAUACAUGAGAAAAAUGGCUGGUACACCCCUCCAAAGGAAGAUGGCUAAAUAUGUUGACUGUUGUAUGUUUGGACUAAUGUUGCUUUAAAGAAAAUCUUUCCAACAUGCAGACAAAAGCUUUGAGUGCCCCUAUUACAGCAGUACCGAAGACGUUAGUUAAUAGAUAUUUUAGUGGAUAAUCUGUCAUCUGACAUCCAGUAUAAGUUACAGCCUUUGCAUUUUGCUCAUUUUAGAUAUCUUGGACUGAGCAGUGGGGCCUUUACUGUAUUUUUCCUGAUAAAUACACAUACUGGCCACUCCUUAUCUCUUUUUCUUGAAAAGUGAACUUUUUAAAGCAGCCAAGUCAACAUCAGGCUACUGAAGUUGAGGCUUUAGGGUAACUUUCCUAUAUUGAGCCCAUGGGUUACAAGGAUUUGCAAUAUAUUGUUCCAUUUACAGCCAAUACAGGUUUAAUCGAUGUUCAAUAUUGGUUUAGAAAAUUUAAGGCCUUCUAAAUCAUAAUAGCUCUUUCAUGUCUAAAACCAUUUUAUGAUAUUGCCAAAAUGUGAUAGGAAACCUACUCAUUAAAUUGUUAAACUUUUUAAUGACUAUGUGAAGAUAUGAAUUGUUUCCUGAAGAUAAUACUCUUAAUUGAGUUGUAUUGUACUUCUUAGGCAAAGCAGUGUAAAACUGUAUCAAUUAAGGCUUGUGAGUAGUGAUUUCCACUGGGGCAUCAGAGUCUUGGCUGGGCUGAAUCUGUUGCUUGUUGGUUCAGUGUUUCUUAUGAACAAGAGCCACAGUACAGAGCUUCAAGUUAUUUAAAAUACUAAGUCAUCUUACGUUUCCAUUUUAUUAACGGGAUGUUGCAAUCGUUUGUAAACUAAUAAACUUAUAAAGUGAUUGGCACAAAGACUCCUUGAGCAAAAGCUGUGCAGUUAAGUACAAAAAGAUACUUAAUUUGGAGACUCUUACAGUAAUUUUUGCCAUGUCAAAACAAUGGCUUUUACAUUGAAAGAUUAAUAGAAACUCUACAUAUGUUAAUUUUUUUAUAGAACCUGACUCAAAUCAAGGUACUCUCCAUUUUAUUGCCUUACCUGAAUCAGUCCUUUUUGGUUGGUAAUAGAUUUUUUUAUACACCCAAGUUUGAUUUAAAAGUAAAUUCUAGUUCUUAAGCACUUUUAACAAGAAAUCCAGAAGCACAUUUUUCUGCACAAACCAGUUACAAAGUUCAAAAGUGUUUCUUGUGCAUUAGCUUUGAGAUUCAGUUUUUAACUUUGUAAACCACAUCUGAGAGACGUGUCAUUUCUACAUUGUGUGUGUUUAAUUUCUUUUGAUUCCAUUUUGGUUAAGAGAGCAGUAAAUAGAUUUUCUGGUAUUCUUGUUCACUUGAUUACAUUUGUAUAAAGUUCUGAUUGCCAGUUGCUCAGAUAACAAGUGACAAGGCAGAAUUCUUUAAAUCAGUAAAGUUCCUUAAGCCUAAGGCUAAAUCUUGAAUACAUUGUUGAAUUCUUUAAUAUCCUGAUGGCAAGCAGACUGAUAGCUGCACAUUUGGCAUGCUUUGUUUAAUGGAUUUUAUUUUUAAUUGCAGAUUUAUUUGGCAAUGUACAGUAAAUUUUGUAAACUUGCAUCAAGUUUAUGAAUAAAGAACCAUUUAAAAA